CGGUUGCUGCGGAGCAUGACACGCCGUCGUUUCCCGGGGCCAAUAAGUUUCUCUAGGGAGCUGUCCCUGCCGGAGCCGUGGUUCCGGUAUAUGGCGCCCACCUGCUUUGCAGGCCUAGAGGAAACUUGCAGCGUGACGGCCGCUGCGGCACCGUC
rnacentral:other from 1 species